GAUGAACGCUGGCGGCGUGCCUAAUACAUGCAAGUCGAGCGAACAGACGAGAAGCUUGCUCCUCUGAUGUUAGCGGCGGACGGGUGAGUAACACGUGGAUAACCUACCUAUAAGACUGGGAUAACUUCGGGAAACCGGAGCUAAUACCGGAUAAUAUAUUGAACCGCAUGGUUCAAUAGUGAAAGACGGUUUUGCUGUCACUUAUAGAUGGAUCCGCGCUGCAUUAGCUAGUUGGUAAGGUAACGGCUUACCAAGGCAACGAUGCGUAGCCGACCUGAGAGGGUGAUCGGCCACACUGGAACUGAGACACGGUCCAGACUCCUACGGGAGGCAGCAGUAGGGAAUCUUCCGCAAUGGGCGAAAGCCUGACGGAGCAACGCCGCGUGAGUGAUGAAGGUCUUCGGAUCGUAAAACUCUGUUAUUAGGGAAGAACAUAUGUGUAAGUAACUGUGCACAUCUUGACGGUACCUAAUCAGAAAGCCACGGCUAACUACGUG
rnacentral:rRNA from 1 species